rnacentral:rRNA from 1 species
ACUCCUACGGGAGGCAGCAGUGGGGAAUAUUGCACAAUGGGGGAAACCCUGAUGCAGCCAUGCCGCGUGUGUGAAGAAGGCCUUCGGUUGUAAAGCACUUUCAGUAGGGAGGAAGGUAGUGUAGUUAACACCUNGCNAUUUANUUGACGUUACCUACAGAAGAAGCACCGGCUAACUCCGUGCCAGCAGCCGCGGUAAUACGGAGGGUGCGAGCGUUAAUCGGAAUUACUGGGGCGUAAAGCGCAUGCAGGCGGCCUGUUAAGUCAGAUGUGAAAGCCCGGGGGCUUAACCUCGGAAUUGCAUUUGAAACUGGUAGGCUAGAGUCUUGUAGAGGGGGUAGAAUUUCAGGUGUAGCGGUGAAAUGCGUAGAGAUCUGAAGGAAUACCAGUGGCGAAGGCGGCCCCCUGGACAAAGACUGACGCUCAGAUGCG